rnacentral:rRNA from 1 species
UACAGAGGUCCCCAAGCGUUGUUCGGAUUCACUGGGCGUAAAGGGUGCGUAGGCGGUCGGGUAAGUCUGACGUGAAAUCUUCAAGCUCAACUUGGAAACUGCGUCCGAUACUAUUCGGCUAGAGGAAUGGAGGGGAGACUGGAAUACUUGGUGUAGCAGUGAAAUGCGUAGAUAUCAAGUGGAACACCAGUGGCGAAGGCGGCAUCCUGGACCGGCAUUGACGCUGAGGAGCGAAAGCCAGGGGAGCAAACGGG